rnacentral:tRNA from 1 species
UGGGAUGUAGCUCAGUGGUAGGGCACUUGCCUAGCAUGCACAAAGCCUUGGGUUCAAUCUCCAACACCACAA